rnacentral:rRNA from 1 species
CAGUAGCCGCGGGAAUACGGAGGGUGCAAGCGUUAAUCGGAAUUACUGGGCGUAAAGCGCACGCAGGCGGUCUGACAAGUCAGAUGUGAAAUCCCCGGGCUUAACCUGGGAACUGCAUUUGAAACUGUCAGGCUGGAGUCUUGUAGAGGGGGGUAGAAUUCCAGGUGUAGCGGUGAAAUGCGUAGAGAUCUGGAGGAAUACCGGUGGCGAAGGCGGCCCCCUGGACAAAGACUGACGCUCAGGUGCGAAAGCGUGGGGAGCAAACAGGAUUAGAGACCCCGGUAGUCCCUGUCUCUUAUAC